UACGAAGGGGGCUAGCGUUGCUCGGAAUCACUGGGCGUAAAGCGCACGUAGGCGACUUUCUAAGUCAGGGGUGAAAUCCUGGAGCUCAACUCCAGAACUGCCUUUGAUACUGGAGAGCUUGAGUCCGGAAGAGGUGAGUGGAACUCCGAGUGUAGAGGUGAAAUUCGUAGAUAUUCGGAAGAACACCAGUGGCGAAGGCGGCUCACUGGUCCGGUACUGACGCUGAUGUGCGAAAGCGUGGGGAGCAAACAGG
rnacentral:rRNA from 1 species